AUUGAACGCUGGCGGCAGGCCUAACACAUGCAAGUCGAGCGAGCGGCGGACGGGUGAGUAAUGUAUGGGGACUGCCCGAUAGAGGGGGAUAACUACUGGCAACGGUGGCUAAUACCGCAUACUAUCGGAUAACCCAUAUGGGAUUAGCUAGUAGGUGGGGUAAAGGCUCACCUAGGCGACGAUCUCUAGCUGGUCUGAGAGGAUGAUCAGCCACACUGGGACUGAGACACGGCCCAGACUCCGACGGAGGCAGCAGUGGGAAAUAUUGCACAAUGGGCGCAAGCCUGAUGCAGCCACGCCGCGUGUAUGAAGAAGGCCUUAGGGUUGUAAAGUACUUUCAGCGUGGAGGUGUUACCAGCAGAAGAAGCACAGGCUAACUCCGUGCCAGCAGCCGCGGUAAUUC
rnacentral:rRNA from 1 species